CGCAGCCUAGUCAAAUUCGGUGUGCCCGCCUCAGUGGGUUGUACUGGCCAGAUGGCUGCCACAGUGAAAUGAUAGUCCAUGGGCCCCGUCAUCUAAUCGUAGAUCUUGGGGAUAAUUAAUGGCUAUGUACAAUC